UACGAAGGGGGCUAGCGUUGUUCGGAAUUACUGGGCGUAAAGGGCGCGUAGGCGGCCAUUCAAGUUAGGUGUGAAAGCCCUGGGCUCAACCUAGGAAUUGCACUUGAUACUGUUUGGCUUGAGUUCGGGAGAGGUGAGUGGAAUUCCCAGUGUAGAGGUGAAAUUCGUAGAUAUUCGGAAGAACACCAGUGGCGAAGGCGACUCACUGGACACGUAUUGACGCUGAGGUGCGAAAGCGUGGGGAGCAAACAGG
rnacentral:rRNA from 1 species